UACGUAGGGGGCGAGCGUUGUCCGGAUUUAUUGGGCGUAAAGAGCUCGUAGGCGGCUUGGCAAGUCGGGUGUGAAACCUCCAGCUCAACCUGGAGACGCCACUCGAUACUGCCAUGGCUAGAGUCCGGUAGGGGACCACGGAAUUCCUGGUGUAGCGGUGAAAUGCGCAGAGAUCAGCAGGAACACCCGUGGCGAAGGCGGCCCCCUGGGCCGUACCUGACGCUGAGGCGCGAAGGCUAGGGGAGCGAACGGGG
rnacentral:rRNA from 1 species